UUGACAAGUUCAAAAAACAAAGGCGAGGUGUAGGAGAUAGUGUUUCUAAUGAUUUGGAUGUCUAUUUAAGUGAGAAAGAAAGGGGAGUUGAUGAUUCAAAGAAUUUUGACAUAACAUCUUGGUGGAAGGUUAACCAACCUAGAUUGCCUAUUCUUGCUCAUCUUGCUCGGGAUGUGCUAUCGGUGCCUAUUUCUACGGUGGCAUCCGAGUCCGCUUUUAGCACGGGGGGGAGGAUUCUUGAUCCUUUUAGGAGUUCAUUGUCUCCUAAACUUGUGGAGAGUCUCAUUUGUUGCCAAGAUUGGUUAAGGAAGUCGAAAGAAGCCAUAACAAUCGAAGAGGAUAUAGAGGCCAUUCAAAAGCAUGAAGAAGCUUUGGCAAGUCUUGGCAUUGUUUGUGAAGAAGGGAAUGGAGAUAUGAUGGAGUCUUGAAGCCAAAUGAUGAAGAAGCAAUUGAAGUUGAAACUUUUGUGUUGUUUACUUAAAACUUUUAAAUUCUAAUUUUUAUGUUGAUGUUGGAUUAUUGGACAUUUGUAUUAAGGACUUGAAUUGAUGUUUGGUUGAUUUGGGACUUGUCACUUGUUUAGGAUUUAUUUGUUAAGAAAAUGGAUAUAUGAUGUUGUUUGCUUGUUUAGUAUUUUAAUUUAGGCUAUUUUAGUGACUUCUUUAGUGAA